CCCCUCUCAGGGUCAUAUCUGGAAUGUUUCCAGUACUCUACCAGUCUCGGCUAUGGGAGGGAGAGUCAAGCAGAGGCCUACCCAUUCCAUUUCUAGCUUGUGCAGUGGCUAGCAAGUGGAAGACAAACUGAUACAAGU